CCGAGGAAAAGAAAUCAACCGAGAUUCCCCCAGUAGCGGCGAGCGAACGGGGAGCAGCCCAGAGCCUGAAUCAGUGUGUGUGUUAGUGGAAGCGUCUGGAAAGGCGCGCGAUACAGGGUGACAGCCCCGUACACAAAAAUGCACAUGCUGUGAGCUCGAUGAGUAGGGCGGGACACGUGGUAUCCUGUCUGAAUAUGGGGGGACCAUCCUCCAAGGCUAAAUACUCCUGACUGACCGAUAGUGAACCAGUACCGUGAGGGAAAGGCGAAAAGAACCCCGGCGAGGGGAGUGAAAAAGAACCUGAAACCGUGUACGUACAAGCAGUGGGAGCACGCUUAGGCGUGUGACUGCGUACCUUUUGUAUAAUGGGUCAGCGACUUAUAUUCUGUAGCAAGGUUAACCGAAUAGGGGAGCCGAAGGGAAACCGAGUCUUAACUGGGCGUUAAGUUGCAGGGUAUAGACCCGAAACCCGGUGAUCUAGCCAUGGGCAGGUUGAAGGUUGGGUAACACUAACUGGAGGACCGAACCGACUAAUGUUGAAAAAUUAGCGGAUGACUUGUGGCUGGGGGUGAAAGGCCAAUCAAACCGGGAGAUAGCUGGUUCUCCCCGAAAGCUAUUUAGGUAGCGCCUCGUGAAUUCAUCUCCGGGGGUAGAGCACUGUUUCGGCAAGGGGGUCAUCCCGACUUACCAACCCGAUGCAAACUGCGAAUACCGGAGAAUGUUAUCACGGGAGACACACGGCGGGUGCUAACGUCCGUCGUGAAGAGGGAAACAACCCAGACCGCCAGCUAAGGUCCCAAAGUCAUGGUUAAGUGGGAAACGAUGUGGGAAGGCCCAGACAGCCAGGAUGUUGGCUUAGAAGCAGCCAUCAUUUAAAGAAAGCGUAAUAGCUCACUGGUCGAGUCGGCCUGCGCGGAAGAUGUAACGGGGCUAAACCAUGCAC
rnacentral:rRNA from 1 species